GACGAACGCUGGCGGCGUGCCUAACACAUGCAAGUCAACUUGAGGGAAGGAGCAAUCUGACCUGAUGGUGCGCAAGGGUGCGUAACGCGUAAGUAACUUGCCCAAGGUAAGGAAUAACGUCGAGAAAUCGGCGCUAAUACCUCAUAAUGCAGCGGAUCCGCAUGGAUAUGUUGUUAAAGGUUUACCGCCUUGGGAUAGGCUUGCGUCUGAUUAGCUAGUUGGUGUGGUAAUGGCACACCAAGGCUACGAUCAGUAACUGGUCUGAGAGGAUGAUCAGUCACACUGAACUGAGACACGGUCCAGACUCCUACGGGAGGCAGCAGUGAGGAAUAUUGGGCAAUGCACGAAAGUGUGACCCAGCAACG
rnacentral:rRNA from 1 species